AACGAACGCUGGCGGCAGGCCUAACACAUGCAAGUCGAGCGCCCAUUCGGGGGAGCGGCGGACGGGUGAGUAACGCGUGGGAAUAUGCCCUUCUCUACGGAAUAGCCUCGGGAAACUGAGAGUAAUACCGGAUACGCCCUGCUGGUGAAAGAUUUAGCCGGGAAGGAUUAGCCCGCGUUGGAUUAGGUAGUUGGUGGGGUAAUGGCCUACCAAGCCGACGAUCCAUAGCUGGUUUGAGAGAAUGAUCCGCCACACUGGGACUGAGCCACGGCCCCGACUACUGCGCGAUGCAGCAGUGGCGAAUCUUACACUGUCGCGGCAACCCUGAUCUCGCCAUGCCGGGUGAGUACUGACGGCCUUAAGGUUGUAAAGCACUUUCAGCUGGGAAGAUAAUGACGGUACCAGCAGAAGAAGCCCCGGCUAACUCCGUG
rnacentral:rRNA from 1 species